rnacentral:rRNA from 1 species
UACAGAGGUCCCGAGCGUUGUUCGGAUUCAUUGGGCGUAAAGGGUGCGUAGGCGGCGGGGAAAGUCUGAUGUGAAAUCCUGGGGCUCAACCCUGGAACUGCAUUGGAUACUUCCUUGCUAGAGUACAGGAGAGGAAACUGGAAUUUACGGUGUAGCAGUGAAAUGCGUAGAGAUCGUAAGGAAGACCAGUGGCGAAGGCGAGUUUCUGGACAGUUACUGACGCUGAGGCACGAAGGCCAGGGGAGCAAACGGG